AAAAAAGGCACUUUCACUUCAUCUUAUGGCUACACACUGAUUGCCUGACAUUUCCAAAUCCCAACUUCACCCAUCUCAUAGCCUUCACAUUAAAAUGAAAGAGAGUGAAAACGCUGAAGAAAAUGUAUUUUCAAGCAUGGGGAGAAGCAGGACUUGAGUUUAUUUUUGGUGGAAAUGACCUGAGUUUCCAGAUUACAGAUGUGUGUCCGAGAACUUCAAAGAUGAUUUGUACACGGAAGUGUUAUGUCUACUGGAGCUGAACGAGACUGGCUGCACACAGGCCUACUGCAGCCAUCUAGCAUCCUCUGUGUAGCUGACAGGGCUCAUUUCAGCUCAGUGUUCCAGGGAAAUUUCAGCCACCAGCCACCAAUGCAUACAGGAUUUAGGGUGCAGGACCAGCGGCGGGGCCUACAGCUGCAGGGCAGGAGCUGUGAGCACAGGUGCUGGGAAGCAGCACCCUCAGCACAGCCUCACAGCACAGAGCACAUGGGCUGGGGCUCCACAUCCAGGGGAGGCACUGAUGGCUGUGGAGCACACAGCAAGCACAUACACAUGCCUGAUCACAGGUUCUCUGCACCUCAGAGCCAGGUGACUGCAGCAUGCCGUUCAUAUUUGGUGCCUUAGAUCAGAAGCCAGUUGCUGUGUCUUGGUACCUAUGGAGCAUUUUCAGUGUUCCAGCUGCACAUCUACCAAAGCCCUGCUGAAAUUCCAUGAAAUGCUAAUGGCAAGUUAAAACAAACAUUGAGGAUAACACCAAAAGUUAUUGCUUGUGAGACAAAAACAGAAACAAGAUUCAAUUCCGUCCUUACAGUUUGCACACAUGACGAGGAGCGAGGCUGGUGCCAGGCUCUGCCCCAUUGUGCCUAUCGAGUGUCCCUAUGUUAGGAGGGAAUGUCCUGAGGAGCUGGCUGGCCGCUGGCAUUUAGGAAAUGAAUGAAUUGUGCUUGCCAGGUGCUUGAGAACAACUUUUGGCACGCAGGAGCUGGCAUGACACGAGUGCACGGGCUGUGUUAUCCUUUCCUAUUCUCUCGACCUUCUCAUUGUGUCGGGGGACCGAACACAAGCCUGUUUCAGAGCACACAAAGUAUGCCAGGGGGUAUUUACAGGUGUUUUUACAGUAUAUUCAUUUAAAUGACAUAGAGUGGAAUUAUGGGGUAUUAUUCCAAAAAAAGACAACAGUGGAGACCUGAAAUGUGUCUGGAAUACGUUCUACAGAGGCACCGGGAAAAGCCAAGGAAAGCUGAGAUCUGUUUCUAGAAGUAUGCACAACCUCCCUCGUCCUCUGAUUUUACCUACACUCGUGAGAAAAUUCCUCCAAAAAAGGGAUUUUUACAAGGGCUGCUCAGAAAGUAGAGGCCUUCAAUUUUAUUAUGUUGGCCCACAACAUCAGAAGCAGAUGUUGGUGGUAUGACAGUAGGAGCUGAAAGUUCCCACCAAUAUCCAAUAUUUUGUUGCCGUGCAACAGGUGACAGCAGAGGUACAAUCUGACAGAAUGGCGUCUGACAUGGAAGUGUCAAAGCUGUGUUACUGAACAACUCCAUGUGGAAAAAAGUGUCACUGAUAUUCAUCAAGGCUUACUAAAAACUUGUGGAGACCAAACAGUGGAUGUGAGCACAGUGAGGUGGUGGGUGGUGUGUUUCAGUAGUGGUGGCUGCGACAUGAGAAAUAAGCUACAUUCCAGAUGGACAUGCACAGCUGUCACGGUACAAAAUGAGGAGGGUCUUGAUCAGCUCAUCCACGUGAACUGGCAGAUUAAGAUUAGGCAACAGAGUGUAUGGAGCCGAAUAUUGGCUUCAGUGUGUUGGAAAUGGUGGCAAGGUUAAAUGUCACAAAGAUUGCUCCUGGUAGGUCUGUCCCAUGAAUGCUCACACAGGCACAUAAAGAAUACCAUAUGCAAGUUUUUCAGGCUCUAUUGAACAAAUACGUGACUGAAGGUGACAGCUUCUUGGAUCAUAUCAUUACUGGCAAUGAGACAUGGUGUCACCACUACGAGCUAGAGUCAAAAUGGCAGUCCAUGGAAUGAUGACAUUCAAAUUUCCCAUCAAAGAAAAAUUUCAAGAUGCAGCUCUCAGCAGGUAAAGUGAUGUGCACUGUCUUUUGGGAUAGGAAAGCAGUGAUCCUUGUGGAUUUCCUGGAACCUGGGUAAACCAUCAACUCUGACCACUGCAUCAUCAAACUGACUAAGCUGAAGGCUUAAACUUUCAGAGUCAGACCAGAGAAGGACAACCUUUCUCUUGCAACGCAGUAACAUCAGGGCCUAUCCCAGUUUGAAGACCAUGGAACACACUACCAAUCAUGGCUGGACUGUUCUACUGUACCCACUGUGUAGUCCAAAUUUGGCACUUUCUGACUUCUACCUGUUUGGGUUGAUGAAAAAUGGACUGCAUGGGCAACAUCUUCCUAGCAGUAACACAAUCAUAACAGCUUUGAAACAGUCGGUCACCUCUGCUGGUGCAGAUUUUCAUGAAUGUAGCAUGCAGGCUCUUGUUCAUUACUGGUGAAAAUGCAUAGCUAAUAGUGGUGACCAUGUUGAAAAAUAGUGUUUUGUAGCUGACAAUUCGCUCUAUCAAACAGUGUUAUUGUGCUCUUCGUAUAUGUUGUAGUUUCCAUGGAAAUAAAUAGGAGGCAUUACUUUCUGAGUGACCUACACAUGUUUUGAAGAAACUGAGUACAUGAAAAGAUGCUGGUUUGACUUACUGGGGAGUUAAUGUGUUGUUUUCAUAAAAUAUUUUCCAAAUAGUCACCAAUUUGGCUGCAGAUUUCAUUUGUGUCGUCUUUUCACAUGCAUUGAGAUAAAUACCUUCCAGUGCCAGACACCAAAAGCCCUGGUUUUGGAGCCAUUUCAGCCAUUUCAAUAUGGCCUGACUUCUGGUAUCAGGGAAUCACAGGUGCUGCAUAUUGAGGCAUAUCAACAGCUGCAGGUAUGAUGCAGUAGCAACACAUUCUCUCACCAUGGGAACAGAGAGGAUGGUAGGCCUGGUUCCCUCUGUUUCCACUCCUCUGCAUCUUUCCAAGGAUGCUCCAAAAUGGUAGCCAAGUAUGGAUCACUGUCAACCACCCUUUUGUCUUCUGGAGCUUCCUCUUUCCCUGCCUCCAUCUCACACAACCAUCUUUCCUCUAAAUUGUACUUGCAGGCUGGUAGGGAUUGGGCCUCAGUUUACCACUGAAGUGUUUCAUCACAGAAGGAUUUUGGAGGCCCCUUUCCCUGGAGGAACCCUGCAGACUUCCUGCCUGCUCACAGCAGGAACAGCAAACCUCUAGGCUGUUUUGUUGUCUUCAUCUUCUCACCAUCGUCAUUUGCUGUUAAGCAGGAAACCUGGUUGGUCCUGUGGCAUCAUAAAACCCACUGAGAUGAUAGUCCAUGCUGAAGCCUGGCUGAUCCUGCUUCCCACCACCCCGUGGGGCUGUCAGCUGCUCAUUGCAGUACAGCAAAAAGCUCUCCUUAGGACAGUGUAAUCACAUUUGUCAUCUGAAAACUGGAGAAGGAGGAGUGGGGAGGGGGUUAGAACAGAGAAAAACCUCCUUCUUUCCUAGCCAGGAAUCUCAGGAUGGUGUUCAAAACAAACCGGCACAAAGGGCCUGAAAAAUGUGUGGAGCAUCUAAUGGAAAGAUCAUUCGGAAGAAUGUAAUAUAUUUGAAUAAUAUUCAACAUAAUAUUCAUAAGGAAUUAUAUUUGGUAAUGGUUUACUUGUUGCAUUGUAAGCUCUUUUCUGAGAAACAAUAUAUUCUAUAUAUUUUCUCCAAAGGGGUUCUAGAAGGAAUACUGGGGCAAAUCAUAGAAAAAAUUAGGACUAAAAUGGAAAUGGUGGUUAAUAUAUAAUGGUCUUAGAAAACAAUAUGUUAACCUCUCCUAGUGAGCAGUGCCACUGAAGACCCUGUACAUAUAAUCAUAGAAUCAUGGAAUGGUUUGGACUGGGAGGGACCUUUAAGAUCAUCCAGUUCCAACCCCCUGCUAUAGGCAAGGACACCUCCCUCUAGACCCUCUACAUCCUGUUACAAAAGCUCUUCUGUCUGCAUAUCUGUUUAUUAACCAGCUGCCUUCCAUUCAAACAGAAAGAAGAAAAUGGUUGAUUAUCUUCAGCCCCAAUCCCUCCAUUUGAAAUAUACAUGGGCAGCAUUACGGAAUUUUUCCAUGCUUAUUAAUGCCAGUGCAUGUUUUCUCUCCCAGAGAAAGAAUAUUAGCAGAUUUCCAUGACCCAGUGCUGCUUUCUUUCCACAGGCCUGCUGGAAUCAUCAGGGCUCGCACGGCCGCAGGCUCUGACAUCCCCAUGCAAGGGCUAUCAGCUUGGAUUAGUCACAACAAACCUCCUCCCAUCUCACAGGGCCCUUUGCACAGAACAGUUGCUGGGCAAAGGCUGCCUCCCUCUUAUCUCUUUUGGUUACCAACAAAAGAAAUUAUAAAUGAGUGGCAGGCAGGACCACAUUCGGGAGGGGGUUUGUAACAGAGACUUUGUUUUUCUUCUGGAAGUUGGGCAGUGAAGCUUCUCCCUGCAAAUCCCAGGCACAGGGAGGGUUAUUUUCUAAAUCUGAAAGGCAAGCAUAGAGGCUUAAUUAUGAGUAGUGGAGAUCUUUCACUAAUUUCGUGAUCUUGAAAGCUAUUUCUCAGGAGACUGGGGGCACAGCUUAAAAUGUCUUGUCCAGUCCUUUAAAACUGACAUUUAAAAAAACAGUGAUUUUUCUUUAGUCAAAAAAGAAAAAAAAGAAAAAAAAAAAGGAGAAUGGAGUGGACGAAAGCAAGGAAACUUUGCAGCUUUUUUUGAGGCAUUAAGGACAUCAAGAGAGCUUCCCAGAGCACAGGACUUUAAAAGCCUGUUCCAGAGCUCAUUUCCUUAUCUUUCCUCAUCCGGGGCCUCACGUUCUGCUUUAGUUUUAAUUUCAACGCCUUUUAAUUCCAAAAGCACCGCCUAUUCACUAGGGUGUAUGUGGUCGUAUUGAUAGGUUUGGUCACGCUCUAGCAGGUGCUGGUGAACAAGCAUUGCUGUACAUUCUAAUCUAGACCAGACACAAGCCAUUGUUCUCAAUCUCUUUUAAAUAUUGGAUAGGGAAAAUCUUGCCAUAUUAUACAUCAAAGUUUGUUAUAGCACUAGUCCUACACAGAUAAACACGUUACUAACAGGGUUGCAAAAUAAGUACAGAGGGACAACAAAGGCAAAACACGAAGUUUUUUUCUGGGGCUAAUUUUUCUGCUUUGACUAAGGAAUGAGAUCAAGGAGAAUUAUCUCUUCCAAACCAACGGAGGUGUUCUGUGAGAGAAUCACCUUGUCAGCUCUGAAUUUUAUCUCUUUGUGUGCGUUUCAAAGGAAAUACCUUUAAAUCAGUAAACAGAAUACUCUGAAGAUAAUUUAAAGCACUUCUUACAUUUUGAUUGGUUUACAUCCUGCUGUGGAUGUAGAAGGAGAACAGUCAACGAUGUCAACAACAGACAAAAAAACACAUGCAGGAGCUGCAGAGAGCUCAUAAACAGCACUGGAUAAGGACAGAAAAAUAAGUGGGGGAACACCGAGUUUGUAGUCAUUACUCUAGCAUAAAUUUACCAGGUAAUUACAUUUCCAUAGGUAGUAAAGGCACUGAGUAAAUCUCAGAGAAAAGGAAGGAGGAAGCACAUUACAAGAAGUCCACAGAUCUAGGCUCCAUUCCAAGGCACUUGCAACUCCAAGCAAGAAAGACUGACCUACAGACCACACAGGAGAGCUUUGGCUGCUCCAGAAUGCAGCUGGCAGCUGUGCUGAAGGCCCACCCUUGCAGUCCAUCGGCACAGUUCACUAGGUCUGCAGCAGUAGUGUUCAAGAUGUUUUGAUUUGUUGGCUGCUAAUGUGGGCCUAGUCUCACAGUUUUAAACCUGUUUGUGCCAGAUUUUCAUCUCAGAGCUGCCUUUGACUGACCUCAAUGUCCCUGCCCCAUUGGCAAGCUGCACACCACGGGCUGAGGCUUGGUGCUGGAUGCUGAGUCUACAGGCACAGCAAAGGGCAGCUGAGAUAGUUAUUAGCUAAAACACACUAAUUCACACAUAGUGAUGCUGAAUAAGUCAUCCUGCAAAUCUUCAGACAUGUUGCCUGCAUUAAUUUUAGCAGAAGGCAAUUCCUGUAACACUAACAUUUCUAGACAACUGUGAUUUUAGAUA
ensembl:lncRNA